rnacentral:rRNA from 1 species
CCUACGGGUGGCAGCAGUGAGGAAUAUUGGUCAAUGGCCGUAAGGCUGAACCAGCCAAGUAGCGUGAGGGAUGACUGCCCUAUGGGUUGUAAACCUCUUUUAUGCGGGGAUAAAGUUGUCCACGUGUGGGUGUUUGCAGGUACCGUAUGAAUAAGGACCGGCUAAUUCCGUGCCAGCAGCCGCGGUAAUACGGAGGGUCCGGGCGUUAUCCGGAUUUAUUGGGUUUAAAGGGAGCGUAGGUCGGUCUUUAAGCGUGCCGGGAAAUGUCGUGGCUCAACCAUGGGAGUGCGGCGCGAACUGGAGACCUUGAGUGGGCGGAAGGCAGGCGGAAUUCGUGGUGUAGCGGUGAAAUGCUUAGAUAUCACGAAGAACCCCGAUUGCGAAGGCAGCCUGCCGCAGCGUUACUGACGCUGAAGCACGAAAGCGCGGGUAUCGAACAGGAUUAGAUACCCCUGUAGUC